rnacentral:rRNA from 1 species
UACAAAGUACCCGUGAGGGAAAGUUGCAAAGAACUUUGAAGAGAGAGUUCAAGAGGGCGUGAAACCGCUGAGAAGGAAACGGAUAGAGUUGACGAAACUGUAUGGCAUUCAUCCGGAUAUUUCCCUGACACCCAUGCCGCUGUCUGCCCUUUUCGGAGGGUGGCAGCAGCAGAAGGUUGCUCAGUGGGAUGCCUGGUGUAUUUGCCAUUGGUAUGUGCUGAGAAAUUUGCCACGGCAUGCUAAUACCGUUGUAAAGAGGACUAUGCCCAAAUGGGUAUAGGAACCUUUGCUGGUUGAAGCUUGUCCAUGGUGAAUAUGCUUCGUAAGCUGGCGCCCGUUAUGAUGCAACAGCUACUAUGCGGUCAGUGUGAUUAUUGAGCGGUCGCAUGCGACUUGCUUAUAGUUGACAAUGGCCCAUUGGGUAGUGCUUGUUGCGUUGGCGUUAUAAGCUACUCAGUAUAAAAGUUGACCACCUAUCCGACCCGUCUUGAAACACGGACCAAGGAGUUUAGCAUAUGCGCAAGUCAUUGGGUGAUAAACCUAAAGGCGCAAUGAAAGUAAAGAUCACUCUUGGUGAUUGAUAUGGGAUCCGYACAGUCUUGUGCUGUACGGCGCACCAUAGCCCCGUCUUCGUUGCUUGCAAUAGGGCGGCGGUAGAGCGCAUACGCUGAGACCCGAAAGAUGGUGAACUAUGCCUGAGCAGGAUGAAGCCAGAGGAAACUCUGGUGAAAGUCCGAAGCGGUUCUGACGUGCAAAUCGAUCGUCUGACUUGGGUAUAGGGGCGAAAGACUAAUCGAACCAUCUAGUAGCUGGU